CGACGCCGCGUGGAGGAGGAAGGCCUUCGGGUUGUAAACUCCUUUUAGGUAGGAAGAAACAAAUGACGGUACUACCUGAAUAAGCCCCGGCUAACUCCGUGC
rnacentral:rRNA from 1 species